rnacentral:lncRNA from 1 species
GGGACUGGGCGCGCCAGGCCCGCGCGCUGAGGCCCCCUCCCCCGGCUCUGGCCACGCGGGCUGCUCUGCCUCUGUGAGUGUGCGGGACACAGAGCCAGGGGGAGGGAGGGCCGUGUUCUGCGGUCACAGGCAGACAGGAGUGCCGGAAGAUGCAGUCUGGAGCCCCCGGGGGACUACGGUUCCGGCCCAGCAGCAGCCGCCAUCCCCACGUUGGGUGGCGAGAUCCGAAAGUUUCCAGCUACGAACAGUUUGCUUUUUUUUUUUCCUUGAUCGCUUUUUUUGGCAAGGGCGGAGAGCACCAGUAGCGUGGGGGGUUUAAAUGCACUUUCCCUGAAUGCAACAGAGAAAUGCCGGGCUGGAGGGCAAACUCCACCGGGACAGGGAGGCGGGAGAUAGCCUGAGCGCCCCCCCAUCCCCCACACUCUGAGCGUCGCAACCCCGGGGGCACCUCCAGGGACUACUUGCCUUGUGCGUCAGCGAGUGACAGCGUCACACACACGCCCCCUCCCGCACAUGCCCGCUGCACCCUCCCUUUCCCCCUCCCCUUCCCUUCUCUCUUUUCCCCUAGCUCUUCCCACCAGGCAGAGAGGCUCAGCCGACCCACACGCUCCCAGAGCACUGAAAGCUAAAAAUAUAGCCGGUGUGUUAGCAACAGCCUUCCCAUUGGUCGGGGGAAAGGGAGAAGCGGUGUCUGAUUGGGUUUAGGAUCCAGCCGCUAAGACUGGGCCCUUGGGAGUGUGCGUUUGCGCCAGCGGGCACGGCAAGGGAUGCUGGUAUUUGUAGUCAUUGAUUAAGGCAGCCAUGUAAAUAGGUGGGUUUACAUCCCAGUUCGGCUACCGACUGUGUGAUCUUGAUUUAAUGCAGCAAAACGCUUGACAUCACCAAACCUCAGUUUCCCCAUCUAUAAAAUGGAGCUCGUGUCGGGGAUUAAAUAUGAUGCUGUAUGUAAAGCCUG